UUUGUGUGCAGUGCUAAUGGAAGUACGAUGGAUGAUAGACUACAUAAAUUAUUGUCGUGUGUGUGAUGGAUGAUACCACUUGCUUUUCAUAACAUAAAAGAUAUACAUCAAUUUUAGGAUUGACGAGGCCAUGUCCGCCUCGGCUUUCUGGGAUCUUGAACAAUGGAAUGACGAUACACACUGAAAUGGCAUACAGAAAUCUGAAUGCUCACACUUGCUACUUGCUAGAGCUGAUACUAGGCUUAUUUUCAUUAUGCCACUUGCUACUUGUAGUUGUCAUGGGUGCCCGUUGAAAUAAGUUGUUUUUGUUAACAUGAUAUUGGUCAAUUAAUUUUACAGACCUCUUAUUGGAAUUGGGGCUGCAACUAAAGUAGCAAACACGACUACGUGAGAAGGGUGAGAAUUAGUGGGAGCAGGGUAUGGAUGAGGAAGGAGCACCAGUAUCUUCAAUGUUGCUGCUGUUUCGUUUCCAUCCCUCUCACGUGUGAAGAAUUUUGUUGGAGCUGGAUGAGACUUUUGCCGUUCCCCUUGUACUCCUUCAUAUAAUCAGUUCACGUUUUCAAACCAUGUAAGGUCAACCUCCUGGGAUACACGAAGUUUCAGUUCGUCGAGAGGCUUCCUUGAGCUUCAAAACAUUUCACUUCAUCUU